rnacentral:SRP_RNA from 1 species
CACGCGGGUAGGGCUGGGGGACUCGCCCUCCCCCUUAACCCGAAAUGGGCGCAAUGCGGGAGCCAGUAAUUCCCCCUCGAGCUCUAGUGCAGUAUGGCAGGAUCCCAGAGAGCCUAUGAACUCCGCCCCGUGGGGUCGGCGGUAACGGUCCUCCCGCUGGAGGGCGGGAGCGAUCCGUUUUUACCGGGGGAACCGGGCCAGGCCCGGAAGGGAGCAACCUAACCUCGGACGCCGACGUUCGCGGGUCACCGGAGGGAGGGGCCUCUGGGGGCUACAGCCUCCAUACUGGGCUAGAGCUCGAGGGGGGAAGCCGCGUG